rnacentral:rRNA from 1 species
AUGGCUGCUGAACCACCUGAACGUACUCUGUGGGUAAAAGAUUUCGAUGACGCUGUUGAGCAACUGAUUGAUCUUCUGCAUCAUGGCGAUAGUAUUGCAGAAGGCAAAAUAAAAGCAUUCUUGUUUAACGGCUGGUUCGGCGAGGGUCUGGGAGCAUCCGCCGUUCUUAGAGCUACAGCAGAACACCUCAAGUCCAAAACAAGUGAUCCAGACACGAAACUGCAAUUUGAUAAAAUUGUGCAAGUCGACUGCUCUUUGUGGAAAAAUAGAAGGACCAUGCAGCGUCAAAUAGCGGCAGAACUGAGCCUUGGGCAUUUAAUGCCUAUUUUUGAUAAGCAAGACGAGGACGAUGAUUUCAGAGGAGUAGAUGACAGUUCUAGAGCAGAGAUAACAAGCAUAGCAAGUGAGAUCCAUGAAUCUCUGAUCAAUACCAAAUUUCUUCUAAUUUUGCAUUAUGGGGGAGAUGCAGAUAUUGAUCUGGAGGAGUCCGGUGUUCCUUUACUUGGACGUUUUGGUAAAGGCAAGCUUUUAUGGACCAAUCAUGGAAGAUUUCUGUUCUCACGAAAACAACACAAGUUGUUGACAUCAAAUUUUGUUAAUAUACGAAUGUAUUUCCCUGUGCUUCAAAUGAAAUACAGUGAUAUCCAGCAACAACUGCAUUCUUUGUUGCACAAAGAAGCUAUUGAGGUGAUUAGGUACACCGGAAUGGAUGACAUCAACCCAGCAACAGUUGUGGAUUGCUUCUUGUACUCAUUGUUCCUGAUAGAAAAACUACGUGGAUUCUCUGGCAGUGGUGACUAUGACUGGGCUACUCAUGCUUGCAACUACUGGAUAUGUGACGGAAUUAUUCAAAGGGAAAGAGCUUGGGAGGUUGGCAGUGCAUUAUAUGGAGUGAUAGGGCAGUUGUGCCGUUCUUCACAUGCAACGGAAGAUCUAGUGGGAUACUUCGACCAACAAAUAAAACCCUACCGAGGCUGGAAAUCAAUUGCAAACAAUAGAGGAGCACAGAGUAUCUCUGCCAUUCCAGUUGAUGCAUCCUCAUAUUUCUUAACAUUUAAGGGACAUUGUCUACAUUUUUUAGAAAAUAUCUAUUUUUUUAAGGGAGAUGGUCUAUUAGAACUACCAAAUGAUGGUUUGUUUCAACUAGCCAGUAACCUCCGUGUGCUAAAACUCUGCAAGUGCAGCUUUGAUUUUGCAUUUCCUCCUUUCAAAUCCUGCAAGAACCUAAGGUUCCUUUGGCUUGACCAUUGUGCAAACACUGUGAAGGAGCAAGGUGGGGGGACAAGUUUUCCAAACCUUAUAGUGCUUGAUCUGCGUUACACAGAUUAUGCCUUGCAGCAGCAGAUGAUUGAACGGAUGACCAAUCUAAGGGAGAUAAAUACAAAAGGAGUCUCAUGGAGGAAUAUAAGUCAUGCAUGGAAAACAUUACAAAAUGUUCACAGGCUCCGACUAACCAAAUCUUCAGAUGUGAUCACAGUGGACAAUUGCUCUUCCUUGGAUAUGAUCAAUCUGGAGCUCUUUGACUUGUCCGGCAAUACCUGCAUGGCAUCAUUGCCUGCAGUGUCAUCAGCGGCAAGCCUGAAGAUGCUUGUUCUUGAUGGUUGUUCCAACUUGGAGACCAUUGCACUUGAAGGGCAUCUUCCACUACUCGAGACUUUUAGCUUUGAUGGUUAUGGCCCAACAGAGGACUGGGCACAUCCCACAAAACUGCCGAAAAAGGAAUUUCGGCCAAAGUCUCGUGCAACUUCAACCAAAGAAGCCAAGGUGAAAAAAAUCUCCCUGAUGGGCUGUGGUCAAUUGCAUAGCGUAUUCUUGCGUGGACUGGUCAAUCUGGAGGAGUUGGACCUCUCUGGUACGGCCAUCAAAAUGCUUGACCUCAGUGCCAUGGCUGUCCCAAAACUUAGGAAGUUAUUAUUAGUGGGUUGCCGACAACUCUGUAGCCUACUCUGCACUGUUAGUGAGCCGCUUGGAUUGGAAGUGCUACAUGUAGACACUCAGGAGAAGAAAAGUUUAGCUGUCUGUUGUGCGCAAGUGAGUGAGAGUUUCUUUACUUUUGAGGCAUGCAUUACCGUUAUAGAUGCAAGGAUUCUUUGGGGGUGCAUUGGAGGACUUUAUCGGUCGAUAAACAUAUACAGAAGGGACAAGGUGCACCUCCACAUCUCUUCUACCAUUCAUAGCCAAAUCAACAUGACUAAAAGUAUCGAGGGGAUUGGCCCUAGCCAGGAGGGUUUUAUUCCUACAGGGCGAUCGUUACCUUAUAAAGAUAUUAUCCUUCUGACGGAUGUAGCAUGUUUAUCCAUUGUGUGUGACCAGCGGCAACUUCAACCUCUUGAUGUGCAUAUGGAGAUUGGUGAUGAAGGCCACAACUUAGAGAGAAUAGAGGAGGACGGACGACCUGCUUUCAUCUGGUUUGUUUGGGAAUGUGUUCAGUCAUUGCAUGUGCAUGACAAUUCCUCAAUCACGGCUAUCCCUCCAAGGGGUCCACGAACUUGGUCUAGACUAACAUGGUGUCAUGUUGAGAGAUGCCCAAAGCUACAGUCUCUCUUUUCUUGUCUGCCUGGAUUUAACAACUUCAAUUCUUUGAGGACAUUUUCCGCGUCUGAUCUCCCGAUGGCCUACUGCAUCUGGGUUAAGACCAAAAAUCCUGAAAACCCUCGAGACUGCAUAUACCUAUACAGUGCCUUCACAGCCCUACAUCACAUAUACCUACACAAUUGCCCUAGGCUGGUGUUUGUCCUCCCAAUUUCCUUCACCUUGCCAAACCUGGAGACCAUCCACAUCGCAUACUGCAGCAACCUCCAAUAUGUUUUCCCGCUGGACAACAAGUACCCUCCAGAAAUAGCAUCCGGUGUCACAUUCCAGAAGCUGAAGCACAUCAAGCUACACCACCUCCACCGGCUGAAGCAGAUAUGCAAGGCCAGACUGACCGUGCCGGCACUGGAGACAAUCAGCCUCAGGGACUGCUGGGCUCUGAGGCGGAUACCGGCCGUCGGUGCGCGCCAAGGUCCUAAGCCGGUUGUGGACUGUGAGAAGGAUUGGUGGGGCAAGCUCCAGUGGGACGGCCUGGAGGCCGGGCACCACCCGUCGCUCUUCGAAACGCUUCACUCAGCUUACUACAAGGAGGCGCUCCCAAGGGUCUCCGUUCUAAGGUGA